rnacentral:lncRNA from 10 species
AAAAGGUGUGUGAAAUCCUAAGCUCUCGCACUUCUGCCUCUGCAUCAGCCCAGGACACCACUCCACCCUCUUGGCGGGUAGGCCUCUGUGGAGGUGAGUCACCCCUGCCUGGACACCGUGCUGCCCUGCUGCUGAGGACACUUAUACCUCAGCUCAGAAAACAGGGCCUCCAGACUGAGUGAGUGGCUCAUGAGGGACUUUAAACUAUCUGGUGACAUUCACACCUGAGGCAGGUGCUCCCCAGGGGGCUAUCUCCGGAAACAGAGUGACCCACCAGGGCUGGGCCCCAGGGGCUUCCGCACCGCCACACCAGCAGCAACGCCCUGCUGACCUGCAGCAGGGACAGCAGGGAAGGGGUACAGACAGAAGAAAACAAUGAC